rnacentral:rRNA from 1 species
UUUAAUUGAAGAGUUUGAUCAUGGCUCAGAUUGAACGCUGGCGGCAGGCCUAACACAUGCAAGUCGAGCGGUAACAUUUCUAGCUUGCUAGAAGAUGACGAGCGGCGGACGGGUGAGUAAUGCUUGGGAACAUGCCUUGAGG